GAAAAAUUGAAGUUUUUGCAUUUUUGAGGUAUUUGAAUAUCGCGCCACGGGAUUACACUGGCUGUUGAGUAGGUGGGACGCAAGCGUCCCACCUAGCCCAUAGAGGUUAAGCUGGCUCUUGAGGAAUGGCGUCACUGGCUGGAGGGCUCUGUCCCCCCUUCAUUGUGUGGACUGAGCAUAAAAACCUGUCCUUCAUCCAGACCGCCAAACGUCUGAACACCCGGCAAGCCAGAUGGGCCUUGUUCUUUGGUAGAUUCAAGUUCACACUCCCUUAUCGCUCCACUAAACCAACUUCCGGGCUGCUGCUCCCUCUUCACAUAUCCAGUCGCCCCUGGUCACACAUAGCUCUGGACUUUGUCACUGGCCUUACCCCAACUAACGGUAACUCCGUCAUCCUCACCGUUAUUGACAGGUUUUCCAAAGUGGCUCACUUCAUUCCCCUCUCCAAGCUCCCAUCAUCCAGGGAGACUGCGGACCUGCUAGUAUCCCAUGUGUUUCAUCUGCAUGGCAUUCCCACUGACAUCGUUUCCGACAGGGGGCCCCAGUUUACCUCCCAGUUAUGGAGAUCCUUCUGUUCAGCUCUUGGUAUCAAUGUCAGUCUUCAGGAUAUAACCUCCAGACUAACGGCAAGACCAAACAGGCCAACCAAGAGAUGGAGACUGCCCUAUGCUGUGUAACUUCUGUUAACGCUUCCUCCUGGAGUGCUCAGCUACCCUGGGUUGAAUAUGCCCACAACACCCUCACCAACGCCUCAUCAGGACAAUCUGCGCCAUUGUCUUCGUACCUGUAGGAAGGCUCAGGCUGCCCUUCUUCGUGCCUCCAACAGGACCCAGUCCCAAGCCAACCGUCACCGGGUCUCAGCCCAAGUCUACACCCCAGGUCAAAAGGUAUGGCUCUCAUCAAAUGACCUGCCAUUGAAGGUGGCAUUGAAGAAACCUUCCCCCCGAUUCAUUGGUCCCCUUGAAAUUGACCCUGUCAUUAAUCCCUCUGCUGUGCACCUCAAACUCGCUGCCUCUCUCAGGAUUCAUCCUACCUUCCAUGUAUCCCUGAUUAAACCUGUCUGCUCCAGUCCCGUCUCCUCCUGCAGCAGCUCCUCCACCCCCUUGGCUCAUCGAUGACUGUCCGGCGGCUUUUGGAUGUGCGCCGUCGGGGUCAUGGCUGGCAGUACCUAGUGGACUGGGAAGGAUACUGGGAAGGGGGGGUGUACUGUUACAUCUGCUCCUGCCACACCCUCUACUGCUCAUCCUGUUUCUCCUUGACCUGCCACCACUUCCCCAGUGCUCUCUCCCUCUCCCUCUCCCUCUCCCUCUCCCUCUGUCUCUGUCUCUCUGUGGUUGUGUGGGCGGAGACAGGUGUGCUGGAGUCAGAGCAGAUCCCUACCAGCUACAACCUGUUCC
rnacentral:lncRNA from 1 species